rnacentral:rRNA from 1 species
UACGUAGGGGGCAAGCGUUGUCCGGAAUUAUUGGGCGUAAAGAGCGUGUAGGCGGUCCGGUAAGUCAGCUGUGAAAGUCAAGGGCUCAACCCUUGAAUGCCGGUUGAUACUGUCGGGCUAGAGUUCGGAAGAGGCGAGUGGAAUUCCCGGUGUAGCGGUGGAAUGCGCAGAUAUCAGGAGGAACACCAAUAGCGAAGGCAGCUCGCUGGGACGGUACUGACGCUAAGGCGCGAAAGCGUGGGGAGCGAACAGG